rnacentral:rRNA from 1 species
CGACCCGCGAACAAGUUUAAUUUUCAUGCGCCCGACACGGCUCGCCAGAAGCCCCAAGGAAAUUGAGUACUAGGAGCACGCCCUCGUAGCCUCGGUGUCGGGGGCGCGCCUUCUUUUUGUGAUAAUCUGAACGACUCUCGGCAACGGAUAUCUCGGCUCUCGCAUCGAUGAAGAACGUAGCGAAAUGCGAUACUUGGUGUGAAUUGCAGAAUCCCGUGAACCAUCGAGUCUUUGAACGCAAGUUGCGCCCGAGGCCUCCUGGUCGAGGGCACGCCUGCCUGGGUGUCACGCAUCGUCGCCCCCACUCCCCUCGGCUCACGAGGGCGGGGGCGGAUACUGGUCUCCCGCGCGCUCCCGCCCGUGGUUGGCCUAAAAUCGAGUCCUCGGCGACGGUCGCCACGACAAGCGGUGGUUGAGAGACCCUCGGACACGGUCGUGCGCGUGCUUGUCGCCCCCGGGACCUCCCGGACCCCCGAGCAUUGGCUUUCAAGGAUGCUCUCGUUGCGACCCCAGGUCAGGCGGGACUACCCGCUGAG